rnacentral:rRNA from 1 species
AACGAACGCUGGCGGCAUGCCUAACACAUGCAAGUCGAACGAGACCUUCGGGUCUAGUGGCGCACGGGUGCGUAACGCGUGGGAGCCUGCCCUUAGGUUCGGAAUAACUCCCCGAAAGGGGUGCUAAUACCGGAUAAUGUCUUCGGACCAAAGAUUUAUCGCCUUUGGAUGGGCCCGCGUUGGAUUAGCUAGUUGGUAGGGUAAAAGCCUACCAAGGCGACGAUCCAUAGCUGGUCUGAGAGGAUGAUCAGCCACACUGGGACUGAGACACGGCCCAGACUCCUACGGGAGGCAGCAGUGGGGAAUAUUGGACAAUGGGCGAAAGCCUGAUCCAGCAAGGCCGCGUGAGUGAUGAAGGCCUUAGGGUUGUAAAGCUCUUUUACCCGGGAUGAUAAUGACAGUACCGGGAGAAAAAGCGCCGGCUAACUCCGUG